rnacentral:misc_RNA from 1 species
AAAAUUAAUUUUAGUAAAAUACAUAACUAGAAAAAACAUCAAAGAAAUUUUUGGCUUCAUUAAUGUUAAGUAUAAUGUUAGUUCUUUACUAUCUACAUAUAGUUAUUUUAAUUUUAAAUUGAUUAAUGUUAAUAAUGUCCAAGAAUGAUGGAUUUAAUAUUUUUAUUUGAUAUAUUUAUGCUUAUAAGUUAGUUGUAUACCUUAGUUUUACUUAUAUAUUUAAGUAUUUAUUAAUUUCGUGAAUUUUGCAAAUUUUUCAAAAA